rnacentral:rRNA from 1 species
GACGAACGCUGGCGGCGUGCUUAACACAUGCAAGUCGAACGGAAAGGCCCUUCUUUUGUGGGGUGCUCGAGUGGCGAACGGGUGAUUAACACGUGAGUAACCUGCCCUUGACUUUGGGUUAACUUCAGGAAACUGGGGCUAAUACCGGAUAGGAGCUCCUGCUGCAUGGUGGGGGUUGGAAAGUUUCGGCGGUUGGGGAUGGACUGGCGGCUUAUCAGCUUGUUGGUGGGGUAGUGGCUUACCAAGGCUUUGACGGGUAGCCGGCCUGAGAAGGUGAACGGCGACAAGAGGACUAAGGGAGGGAGCAGAGGGGUAUGGGAGGCAGCGGGGGGAAGUAUGGCACAAUGAGCGGAAGUGUGAGGCAGAGGCGCCGGGUGUGGGAUGAGGGCCUUCGGGGUGUAAAACGCUUUCGCCUGAGACGGAGGGUGAGUGACGGUAAUGGAUAAAGAAGCACCGGCUAACUACGUG